UUUAUCCGAACGUCACUCCUUUCUCUCUCAAUUUUCUGAAACCCAACUUACCCACAUUCCCAUAGCUACUCUCUCAUCACUCACUUUCUCAAUCUCCCUCUCAAUCUUGAUUUAAAAUGGCUACGAAGACCAGUUGAAACUGCCUUGAAAGAUGCAAAUCUUUCCUUCAAAGAUUUAGAUGAAGUAAUCAUUGUUGGUGGUUCUACUCACAUCCCAACUGUUCAGGAGCUUAUGAGGAAGAUGACCGGAAAAGAGCCCGAUGUGACUGUAAAUCCUGAUGAAGUUGUUGCUCUUGGGGCUGCUGUUCAGGUUUGUCCUUAUCUUGUUGAGAUAAAUUACUCUGGUCUUUGUAGGGUCCCUUGUCCUACCUGUGAACUAAGUGAAUGGUUUAAUUCAGGUUUGGUCAGAAGCAAACCGGUGUACUUGAUGGAAUAUAUAUUAUAUAGAUUUUUUUUUUUUGAAAUUUUGAAUAUUGAUUGAUUUUGUAUUGGGGGUAGGCUGAAUUGUGACUUCUAUUCUAUGGAAGGCAUACCAUGAUGCAGGAUUAACUUGUGGUACUGUUGAUUUGUUGAGUCUUUAUAGUAUAGUAUGUAAUUAAAGAUUGAA